rnacentral:rRNA from 1 species
GAUGAACGCUGGCGGCGCGCUUAACACAUGCAAGUCGAACGAUGAAGCCCUGCUUGCUGGGUAGAUUAGUGGCGAACGGGUGAGUAACACGUGAGUAACCUGCCCCUGACUCUGGGAUAAGCCCGGGAAACUGGGUCUAAUACCGGAUAUGACUUCCUACUGCAUGGUGGGAUGUUGAAAGAUUUAUCGGUGGGGGAUGGACUCGCGGCAUAUCAGCUUGUUGGUGAGGUAAUGGCUCACCAAGACGACGACGGGUAGCCGGCCUGAGAGGGUGACCUGCCACACUGGGGCUAUGAGACGGCACAGACUCCUUCGGGAGGCAGCAGUGGGGGAUAUGGCAGAAUGGGCGGACGAUUGAUGCAGCGACGCCGCGUGAGGGAUGACGGCCGGCGGGUUAUAAACCUCUUUCAGUAGUGAAGAAGAGAAAGUGACGUUACCUGCAGCAGAAGCGCCGGCUAACUACGUGCCAGCCGCGGCAGUAAGAC